GCGAACGGGUGAGUAACACGUGGGCAAUCUGCCCUUCACUCUGGGACAAGCCCUGGAAACGGGGUCUAAUACCGGAUACGACGCGCUCGGGCAUCCGAUGUGCGUGGAAAGCUCCGGCGGUGAAGGAUGAGCCCGCGGCCUAUCAGCUUGUUGGUGAGGUAACGGCUCACCAAGGCGACGACGGGUAGCCGGCCUGAGAGGGCGACCGGCCACACUGGGACUGAGACACGGCCCAGACUCCUACGGGAGGCAGCAGUGGGGAAUAUUGCACAAUGGGCGAAAGCCUGAUGCAGCGACGCCGCGUGAGGGAUGACGGCCUUCGGGUUGUAAACCUCUUUCAGCAGGGAAGAAGCGAGAGUGACGGUACCUGCAGAAGAAGCGCCGGCUAACUACGUGCCAGCAGCCGCGGUAAUACGUAGGGCGCGAGCGUUGUCCGGAAUUAUUGGGCGUAAAGAGCUCGUAGGCGGUCUGUCGCGUCGGAUGUGAAAGCCCGGGGCUUAACCCCGGGUCUGCAUUCGAUACGGGCAGACUAGAGUGUGGUAGGGGAGAUCGGAAUUCCUGGUGUAGCGGUGAAAUGCGCAGAUAUCAGGAGGAACACCGGUGGCGAAGGCGGAUCUCUGGGCCAUUACUGACGCUGAGG
rnacentral:rRNA from 1 species